CAUUGAGGUCAGAUUCUGGACCUCCCCGGUCACACCUCCUUGGAACUGUGGGAGCUUCCCAAACUGAGGUCACCACCCGCAGCCGUCUGGCCACUCCUCCUAGCCCACAACCCCAAUCCUGCCAGAAGUCACCCGUCUCUCCUUCCCUUUCUGGAGUGUGGGCUGGCAUUAUGCUCUCCCCCAAAGAAAGUCUUUUUCUGCCUGAACCAUCUGCCCGAUUCCUUCCAGCUAAACCUUACAGAACCAACAAUGCUCAACUCACUGUCUUUUUUUUUUUUUUUUAAAUAUGCCACUAUUAGGGCCUGAACACAGGGCCUCAUACUCUCUUAGCUUUUUCCACUCAAGGCUGGUGUUGUACCACUUGAGACAUCCCUUCAUCUCUGGCUUUGUGCUGGUUAAUUGGAGAUAGGGAUUUGUCUGCCUGGGCUGGCUUUGAACCUUGAUUCUCAGAUAACAGCUCCUUAGUAGCAAGGAAUACAAGUGUGAGCCACUAGUACCCAGCUCACUAUACUUUUUCAAUCAGUGGGUACUGUCCUAUGGAAGAAAAUGUGAAGUCUCAUAGAAGAAAGGAAUAACACUAAGGUAUCUCAUACAAGUAGAGAGCAUUUCCUCAGAUUUUUUUUAUUUCAUUUUGUGAUCAACAUGCUUUUAAAAUGAGUUUCAUGAGAAUUUGAAAUAUAAUGCCUCAGGUUAGGGAAAUAUCUCAGAUAGAUGGAAAUAGAAAUAGGAAAGACAUGAGGUAUCAUUUGAUGACUCAUGCUCUGAAGUUUCCCUUCAAGAUUGUCCUAUAAAGUUCCAACACUGUUCAAAAAUUUGUUUCUAAACUUGAAGUGAGUAUUUUUUCUUCAUCCUUUCUAUAGCUUUGGGAAAGUGAUGAUUCUGGUCACAAGACAAACUUGGCUGUUUUAUAUGGAAAAUUGACCUAGUUAAUUCAUUACAAAAUAAUGUGAGAGGCUUUAUCCAGAUGGUGGCUUACCAAGAGUGUAAUACAGUUUAAUUUUGAACACAGGUGUAUUUGUUGAUGUCAUGUUCUUUAUGUCUGCAGGAUUAGGGGAUAUGGGAGUUUGCCCACUUCAACACUUUUUAAAGAAAUGACUUACAUAUGGAUAAAAAGGAGAAUCAUUUGGCAUACUCAAGAGAAGAGAUUUUUCUCCACUCAUCAAGAAUACAAGAGAACAUGGAAUCAAACUCAGGUUCUGGGACUCCAAGUCUAUUUGUAUGCUUAAGUGAGGGUUAUGGGGGAGGGCAAAGACAAAGAGUGAGUGUUCUUACUGGUUUUCCCCAAUAUUACUCUAUGAAGUUGUUCUUGGGUUGCAGCUACUACAUGAAAUAACCAUAUAAUACUCCACUACCAUAAAAUUUACAUUCACUCUUUGCCAUUUCCAAAAACUAAAAGAAUUUCUUGAAGGAUAA